ensembl:lncRNA
GGUACUGAGAAGAAAAAAUAGAGAUUUUAAGGAUUAUUUGAGGAACACGAUUGUGCAAGGCCUAAUGCCUCCUCACACGCCUCAGUGUGAAAAAAACUGUCCUGUGUGGCACACUGAACCCAGGGUGAAAAGUGCCGUGAUCACACCUCGACUGCUGCAGCUUUCCAAACCCAAACUCGCACAUCCGGACUUCCAGAGGAGCGGGGAGAGCGUUGCUUCCAUCGUCUCUCUCUCAUCCAGAAAAGCUCGCAUCUCGCAGAGACUCGUCCAGCUGUCGCUGCCCAGACUGAAGGAGAGCAACAUCUGCUGCACACUUGGACGUCCAGAGGAAUCCAUCUGGACUGUUUCAAGAGCAGCGAGGAGAGCCACAGCGAGCGCUCGCAUUGAGAUGCUGGCAGAACCAAAGCAGCUUUCCAAGGACUACAUCCCACCACGAGACCCAGAGUGGAGCCGGAAAAACGUCCAGUCCAUCUGAGUGCGUGUCACCAUCGAGUCGGUGUUUCACCAGACUGAACUCUUUGUGUUUUCCACCCCAGACUAAAGCAGAAACAUUUAAAGGUUGAAAUUCAGAUCCUGUAUUCAUGUUUCUGUGCUUUAUUUACAUUCACAGUCUCUUUAAUGAUAAUAAUGGCAGUUAUUUCAAGCGAGUUAUCACAGCUUGUGAACAGAAAAAGUAGUACCAAGAAUGAACCCCUGCAUCUACCUGCAGAGUGAGUUAAAGUCAGUUACUGUGAAAUUAAUGAUGAGCCAGAGAGAUCCAACAGGGAAACACUGGAGUGUCUGUCUCUGUGUGGCUCUGUUAUCAUCAUCAUCAGCAUGUCUAUGAAAUCUUAAAUGAGUUAGCGUUGGACUGGAUAUGGCUGACAUGAUAUAUUGCUGGUUUAAAUCUCUGAUGCCUUGGCAGAUUGAGGGAGUAAUGUUAAGAAUAAAAACAUGUCUGUGGCUCUCUCUGUCUACAGUCUGCAGCUUUUGUCUGAGCCUCGGCACGAUACUGCGAUCCACGUGGUUUUUCCUUUGCAGCCGAGCAGGAUUCUGCAUUUUAUUACAACCAUGUGUGUAUGAAUCCAUAAACACUGUCAGAGUCAUGACACAAAUCUCUCAGUAUUUUUUCCAGGGUAAAGUAGAAGCCAUUCA